rnacentral:tRNA from 1 species
GGUCCGUUGGUCAAGGGGUUAAGACACCGCCUUUUCACGGCGGUAAAACGUGUUCGAAUCCCGUACGGACUA